ensembl:misc_RNA
CAGUGUUGGUUACUUUGGAAAAUCUCUCUUAGUUCUCCAGACAGCAGUACAAGUAAGCAUAGCAGAAUUAUCAAAGCCAGGAGGGGGUUACACUUAGCAUCUUUCCAGAGAUGCAUAUUUAAAGCACCGAGGACACUUCGUUUUUCUGAAAGAAUG